rnacentral:rRNA from 1 species
CUUGGUCAUUUAGAGGAAGUAAAAGUCGUAACAAGGUUUCCGUUGGUGAACCAGCGGAAGGAUCAUUACAGAGUUCAUGCCCUUCGGGGUAGACCUCCCACCCUGUUUAAUUACUAUUGUUGCUUUGGCAGGCUGCCCUCACCAUGGGGCGUCCGGGUUCCGCCCGCGUCUUGCCUGCCAGAAGCCCCUUAAUUCUGUGUUCUGUGUCGUCUGAGUACUAUAUAAUAAGUUAAAACUUUCAACAACGGAUCUCUUGGUUCUGGCAUCGAUGAAGAACGCAGCGAAAUGCGAUAAGUAAUGUGAAUUGCAGAAUUCAGUGAAUCAUCGAAUCUUUGAACGCACAUUGCGCCCCUUGGUAUUCCGGGGGGCAUGCCUGUUCGAGCGUCAUUUCAACCCUCACGCGUAGCGUGGUCUUGGGCUCUGCCGGCAACGGCUUGCCUUAAAAUCAGUGGCGGUGCCAUCGAGCUCUACGCGUAGUAAUAAACCCCUCGCGUGUGAGUCUCGGCGGUCGCUUGCCAGCAACCCCCAAUUUUUUAUGGUUGACCUCGAAUCAGGUAGGGAUACCCGCUGAACUUAAGCAUAUCAAUAAGCGGAGGA